AUUGAACGCUGGCGGCAGGCCUAACACAUGCAAGUCGAGCGGAUGAAAGGGGCUUGCUCCUGGAUUCAGCGGCGGACGGGUGAGUAAUGCGCAGGAAUCUACCUCGUAGUGGGGGAUAACGUCUCGAAAGGGGCGCUAAUACCGCAUACGUUCUGAGGAAGAAAGCAGGGGGACCUUCGGGCCUUGCGCUAUGAGAUGAGCUUGCGUCCGAUUAGCUAGUUGGUGGGGUAAAGGCCUACCAAGGCGACGAUCGGUAACUGGUCUGAGAGGAUGAUCAGUCACACUGGAACUGAGACACGGUCCAGACUCCUACGGGAGGCAGCAGUGGGGAAUAUUGGACAAUGGGGGGCAACCCUGAUCCAGCCAUGCCGCGUGUGUGAAGAAGGCCUUCGGGUUGGUUAAAGGAC
rnacentral:rRNA from 1 species